rnacentral:antisense_RNA from 1 species
GGCUUGUGUGAAGCGGCCGCCCCAAGCUGAGCCUGCAGCUGAUAACCACAGACACCCUGGCAGGGAAAUCUGUGAUCAGAACAACAACAAAAUGCCAAGGAAAACAAAACCCAUUUGCAUUUGUAGUAAGUAAGUGCUGCUCCACCAAGCUGAGAAGAAAUGGCCCUUGGCUGUCCUCGGGGCCAGUGCUAGGAACUCUGGACCAGCCGUCUGUAGUGGGGCAUGACUUCGUGCUCGGGCAAGUGGAGGGCGAAUUCCAAGGCCACUAACACCGGGAAUUCAAAGGCAAUCAGUUCUCGCCUGUUCAGCCGGAACUUCUCUUCCAGUUUCUGCAACAAAAAGAAAAUCAAAAGCAUGUUCAUUUUGAAAUUAAAAUCCUAGUCUUUCUGCAA